rnacentral:lncRNA from 1 species
UCUUUUUCUUUUUUCCUUGGUUGGACUUUAUUCCCACAUACACUAGCCCCCACAGUUAACACACACACACACGUAUGUACACAUACAUGUGCAUGUGAUCUUACGGGCAGGUGUGCAAUGUCAGGAUGAAAAAGGAGUCAGAGACAAUACCCAGACCCCCUUAUCCCCAAAAUGGCCACCCUCGCGGAUUUACAGAGGGCUAAUAUCAGCCAAACCCUUGAGACCUUCUAAACACACUACUUUGUGUGUUUUUUCAGCAGCCGGGUCCGACACGUCACAGGGUUCUUUUUAUUUAUUUUAUUACAGCUACAGUGAUAGAGCGUACUUUGUCUUCCCUCUGCCUUCAGUGAUGUGGAGAAACGGGGCUGCGUAUUCUCCGAGCUGGAUGCCUGUGUAGAAUUUUGUUCCUGCGUGGGUGUGCAUAUGGCAUAUGUGUGUGUGGUAGCCAGAGAGGAGGCAGGUGGCCUGUGUGCAUCGCUGCGUCAGGAUCGAUUAGUUCCAGAGACAGAGACAAGAUGUGAAGAUCCAGCAGUAUUCUGUCAAAACAACGGGCUCGUCUCCAGACAGCUGGAUUUCCACUCAGACCAUCACAUGGACUGUUCCCAUUGUCCUGAUCUGUCGCUGCAGCAGGGAGUCCUCACGAGGGGGAAUAUACUGCCUAAGUCUGACUGCCAUUUGCCGUUAUCUAGCUCCGCCGUCCACAGCCACGCAACUAUAGCCCGAGGCCUCCGACCAUCAUCAAGUGAGGAGAAAUCCCCAAAACAGCACGCGCUGCUGCUUCUGUUGUGUAUCAAAGCAGACGGAGGAGAAACCAAACAAAGUGUGCAUGGAGACCAGCAGCGAAACCUUAAAGGCCAUUGAUGCUUUGCAUUUACAGCAAGAGUGUAACACCGAAAGAGCCUUUUCAGUGCUGAUGUGUCGUUUCUCUCAAAAUAAAGCACCUCAUUUGAUAUCAGA